rnacentral:rRNA from 1 species
GUAGGGAAUCUUGCGCAAUGGGCGAAAGCCUGACGCAGCCAUGCCGCGUGAAUGAUGAAGGUCUUAGGAUUGUAAAAUUCUUUCACCGGGGACGAUAAUGACGGUACCCGGAGAAGAAGCCCCGGCUAACUUCGUGCCAGCAGCCGCGGUAAUACGAAGGGGGCUAGCGUUGCUCGGAAUUACUGGGCGUAAAGGGAGCGUAGGCGGAUAGUUUAGUCAGAGGUGAAAGCCCAGGGCUCAACCUUGGAAUUGCCUUUGAUACUGGCUAUCUUGAGUAUGGAAGAGGUAUGUGGAACUCCGAGUGUAGAGGUGAGAUUCGUAGAUAUUCGGAAGAACACCAGUAGCGAAGGCGACAUACUGGUCCAUUACUGACGCUGAGGCUCGAAAGCGUGGGGAGCAAACAGGAUUAGAUACCCUAGUAGUCC